UGAACCAGACGAAGGUCGAGUGUAGCCGAAGCUGUGCGCAGGAAAGCUUCGGCGCGAUGGCAGUAGGGGGAACCGACUUAAAGAUGAAAAGACUUCGGGGGCCUCGAAAGAUUUCCAUAAGCCGUUAACAAAUGUAAUGGGCAUGGAUGUAAUUUUACGUGGGCUGCGUCCCGCGUCUAUAAAUAGAUGAACAGUACUCCCGUACUGUUCACGCUGACUUUACAUUUGCUUUUGCGUCACGCCUGUACUUUUUACCUUCUCUCAGGACCGAAGGUACAUUUGUAAUUUGAAAUCAUUUCUAUUUUUCCAUGUUAAUAAAAUAGAAAUGAUUCUAUGAUGAUGCUUAUAUUAUAUCUCAUGCUUUAUAUGAGUCUUUCGUUAUUACUUGUUAUGUUUACGAAGGUAUGUCUCUUAUGACCUUCGUCCGAAACUCAUUAUUUCCCGAAGGGACAUAAUGCUUCGAAGGACGAAGGACUUUAACACUUAACACUUUUCAUGUUGCCUUGUUCUUAACUCUUAGCAUUUGAGAACAAGUCACCAACAUUGGCGCCCACCUCCGGUGAACUCACUUCCACUUCUUGAGUUUUUCGGCACCUUCGGCAAGCAUCAGCUUCGUCAUGCCGCCGAAGAAGGCUCCAGCACCAGGGGCUGGCACGCUGCAGCCGCUGGACCCCAAUCAAGAUGUCCUUUCUCUCAGAGAGGCACGAAGCCAGAAGAGGAAGGCUACCAGUCCAACACAUCCGGAGGAUGAUCUAGAUCAGGGAAUUCAGAAUCUGGAAAUCCUUCAGCAACAGGUUCAACGCAGGAAGGAGAAGAUGGCCAGGCUAGCUGAACUGCAGAGGCAGAUAGAUGAAGCCUCUGAAGAAGUUCGUCAUCUUGCUCAGGAUGAGCAACUCCGAAGGCCUCAGCAUCAAGACCUUCAUCAGGAGGGCUUUCACAACGAAGAUGACUGGUAUGACAAUUUCCAUCAUGGGAAUUUUGUUUUUGAUGAUGCUUCUCCCUUGUCCGCUGAGUUGCAGGCUACGCCUUGGCCUCCGUCCUACAAGCCGCCUCAGCUCCCCGUAUUUGAUGGCCAUUCUGAUCCGAAGCAGUUUUUGAUGAGCUACGAAGCAACAGUGUCUUCGUACGGUGGCAAUGCUUCAGUCAUGGCCAAAUCUUUCGUUAUGGCUGUCAGAAGUGUUGCUCAAACCUGGUAUUCCUCCCUUCGACCAGGAACGAUCACUUCAUGGCAGAAGCUGAAGGACUUGUUGUUAACCAGCUUUCAAGGAUUUCAGACGAAGCCGGUCACUGCUCAGGCUCUGUUCCAGUGCACUCAGGACCCCGAAGAAUACCUUCAGGCAUAUGUCCGAAGGUUUUUGCGUUUGAGGGCACAGGCACCAACGGUGCCCAAUGAAAUUGUCAUUGAGGCCAUGAUCAAGGGGCUUCGGCCAGGUCCGUCAGCUCAGUACUUCGCCAGGAAGCCUCCUCAAACGCUGGAGAAGCUGCUCCAGAAGAUGGAUGAAUAUAUUCGAGCUGACAAUGAUUUUCGCCAAAGAAGGGAGGAGGCCUUCAGAUUUUCUGAGAUGACCAGGGGCUUCGGAGGAAGAUUCUAUCCGAGGCAUGUCAGAUCAAUUCAUAAUUCCAAUCAAAAUGAUGAUAAAGGGAGCCAGCAGCAAAGGCCACAGUACUCCUCACAGGCUUCGGGGCAACAGCAAAGCUCCUUCCGACCACCAGCUCCAAGAGGCAGAGGCGCCAGGGGCUUCGGAGGAAGAUUUGGCGAUCAACCAAGAAGAAUCUUUUGCUUAUUCUGUGGUGAGAACAAAGGCCAUACUACCAGGAUGUGCCAUGUUACUAUACAGAAGCAAAAGGAAAUAGCUGAAGCAGCAGCACAACAAGCCCAGCCGAAGCAGGUCAUGCAUACAGCUUCGUAUCAUUCGCCCUACAUCCCAGAAUAUGUGGGCAAUCAUCCUGUAGUCUCUGCUGCUUCGGCAAGUCAGCCUUCAGCUUCCUGGCAACAGCCUCCGCCUCCACCUCCGUUGCAACAAGGUCAGCAGCCAGAAGGGAGCCAAUAUGCUCCACAUCAAAGGGACUUCAGAGAACAGUCCGAAGCUCGCACGGUCAACAGCACCGUGCCAGAAUCAAAGCACAUCUAUUGACAAAUAUCCUACCUUAAUAGCAAUCUUUUUCAUUCAGUUUUAUUCUCUGUAAUAAAGGACAUUGUUUUCAUGUAAUUAGUUUCGUUGAUUCCUACAAGAAAAAUAUGUUUUCUUCACAGGUUUGCGACAAUAAAAAGGACCUUCGGACUAUCGAAAAUCCUUUGAAGCAACGAAAAGUCGUUCUAAGAAACGCAGAGUAAGUCUGACGAAGUCACAAAAAGUCGUUCCGAAGGGAGCGCAGCGUAAGUUUUCUGCUCCAAAGUCGUUCCAAAAGGAAUGCAGAGCAUACAGCGAAAAGUCAACGCUGAUACCGCCUAAGUAAAAGGCGAAGAAGCUCCAAAGACGUUCCUAAGGGAAUGCAGAGCUUAUACCGCCUAAGUAAAAGGCGAAGAAGCUCCAAAGACGUUCCUAAGGGAAUGCAGAGCUUAUACCGCCUAAGUAAGAGGCGAAGAAGCUCCAAAGACGUUCCUAAGGGAAUGCAGAGCUUACAGCGAAGAAUCAGUGCUGAUACAAAAAUAUUGUGUGGGGAUAUGUGUGUAUCUUUCGGAACAAAUGUCAUCUACGUAGCAUAACAUCAUUACAUCAUUUUGCAUAGCAUAAGCAUCAUACAUCAUGUUGCAUAUGGCCCAAGAAGGGGACACGAUAUUGAUCUUCGGAAGUAUGAUUUGAAAGAGUGAAAAUCGUGGUCCCAAGAAGGGGACACAAUAUUGAUUUUCGAAAGUAUGAUUUGAAAGAGUGAAAAUCAUGGUCGUAAGGAGACACAAUCUUCAUCUUCGAAGUAUAGCUUCGGAGAAUUUUUUCACGAAGUUUGGAUAUUCUUCACGAAGCAUGAAAAGAAGGGAAGGUGUUUUUUUUUUCGCCAAACUCAAAAACGGUACGUGUGUAAAGUUUCAUGCAUCGUAAAGAAUUGAGUAGCAAAAAUAGAUAUAUUACAUUCGGGGUUACAAAAAUGUUACAUUAUAUUACAUUUCCGAAGUUUUUUACAAAAAUGUUUAAUCCUCUCUCAAAACGACUCCUGCAGCUUCAUUCAGAAGCCGAUUGACGACUUCGUCCAUAAUAUCUUCGGCCAUCUUUUUAAUUUCGUCGUCCCCCUUCGGCUGAGGGCCCGAAGGCGCUUUAGUCGGAUCUGAAGCAGGACACGACUACAUUACUAUUACAAAUCGCAAACAGAUCUUAAAACCCUAAAGAUUACAACACGGUAGAAACUAUUAUUUAGUACCUAAUUGACCUUCGGGCUCUGUGCUCUUUUCAGCAGCCUUAGCCACUUCUCUAGCAUCAUGAAUGCCCUUUUCACUUCUCUGAAUAAUUUCUCUUGCCAUUUCUCGGCCACCGUUGUCCCAGAUGUCGGUGAAAAAUUUUCCCCCUACCGCGCUAGCUUCGGCUGAAGGAUCUUUUAUAUCUUCAGUCGACAAGGUGGCUUCGGACUGUGCUAAAAUUUUCACAUGUUCACAGCCCUUCUUCUCUAAAAUAGUGGCAAUCCCUCUGGCGCCAGAGAAGGCACAUAUAUCUCCUCGGCUAUUUAAAAUUUCUUCGAAGGCUUCAGCUUCGUGGUCAAUCCAUUCAAUGACACUUUCGGGAUUGCCCCUCAGAAAAUCUUCUUCACUUGAGAAUGCGCCGACCUUGGCGAAGCUAGCCUUUAAUUUUUUAACACAGUCUAUAGAUUUAUUGUAGCAUCUCUUUUUGGAUGAACGAAGCUCUUCAACAGUCACUUCUAGGUGAUCUGCCCAUUGAUCGCUGAGUUCACGCUUUGUUUCUUCAAGUAUACGUUCCUCUGUGGCUCUGGCCAGUUGUUUCCGAAGGUCUUCAAUUUCGCGUUUCUGAGCUUCAGCCUGACUUUUGAAAGCAGCUUCGUCCUCCUUUAUUUUAUCUAUCAAUGAGUACAAUAUUUUGUCUUUUUCGAGACCUUCGUUCCUCAGUUCAAUUACUUCGGAACGAAGGUUGCUCAGGGCUAUAGUACACCCUUCGUCUUCAGUAUCUUUCUGGGCUCUGAGAGCAUUGCUAAGAAUCAAGCCCUGCAAAAAGGAAUAUGUGUGUGUGUCAGAGGGUUUAAAUGAACGGAAAAAUACAAGGAUUUCAUUUAUCAUACCUUUAAACUGUUAUAAGCUAGGCUGUCAGCCAGAUCGUUUUUUGAUAGCACCGAAAGUCCGUCUUCUAAAGUUGGGAAUCCGAAGCUUCUGCUUAUCUCCCGACAGACAGAAAUUUCCUUGUUGUCGGGAAGACAGUACAAGAAGUCUUCUUCUCCACUGCCAUUAAAUAUUAAUGCUCCCUUCGGAUAUUUCAGUUUUUGGGCAUAAUGCUGGGCCUCUUGUUCUUCUUUUUCUGAUAAUUUUUUCCCCGAAGCAUGACGAAAAAUAUAAUCACGAAUUUUGGGGGAUGCUUCGGGGGCAACAACACUAGAUUCUUCAAUAGUUGGCUUUGUUAUUUUCUCUGUCUCACUUUCCAAAGUUUUUGCGGGCUCUGAGGGUCCAGCUUCGGCUGAAAUCUCUUGCUCUGGAGCUGUAGAACCAGAGAUUUCAGCUGUUGUUUCAGGAGUAACAGCAGCUUUCUUCGGAGGUGUGCUCGAAGAUUUGAUCGUUUCCAAUACGUCUAGCACAUUAGCCAUUCUUUUUCUCUUCGGAGUUGCAGCUGGCACUUUUUCAUUUUUUGCUGUCCCAAUGAUUGUUGUAGGACUCAAAACUUCUGAUGUUUUGGAGCCCUCAGUUGCUUCUCUUACCUCCUCAAUUUUUUCUGUGAGCGGCGCUUCGGUUUUCUCUUUAGUUUCUGGCAACAAAGUGUUUGAUUGUUCUGAUUCCAUCUUUGGUGGCACUUCGGCCGUUUCUGCGAUCUCUGGCAACAAGGCUGGCUCGAUUAGUUUUUCAGCUUCGGUGGCUGAAGAAGUUUUCCCGGUAAACUCCGGCACCGAAGCUGGUUCAAUAUAACGCGGCCAGUGCGUAAGAACCUUUAUCUUUUUCCUUUUCAGUUCUGGCUCGCUAGGAGCAGCUGCAGCUUCUUCUUUUGCAGAGAUUGUGUUUUUUCUCUUCUGCCUUCGAAUGGGAUAGCAGUAAUCAGGGUAGACAAACCCAAUGGCAUCAAAUACCCGAUUCAGUCUCUUCUUUUUUCGGCCUCCGAAGGCUGCUGACAUUGCAUUAUCUUCAGCCUUCGAGUAGGUCCCGAGUAGCUCAUCACUUAAAUUGUCAAUGCUUUUCAACCACUCAUCAUCUGGCUCAAUAAAUUUAUCCCCAAAUUUGAAGGUGUACUUCAGUCUCACAAGCUCACCUUCGUCGGCCUCUUUUAUGGUUUCUUGUGGCAUUUCCCAUUUAUCAGCAAGCGGCCACACCCUGAAGGCGAUAUGUUCUUGUACUAAGUCCCUUGUUCCUAUAAAAGAGCAGACAACGCCGAAGGCUCUUUGGCACUCUUCGGCGGCUUCGUUCAUUUCAACCUUCGGCCUCCGAAGGCCGAAGCUUUGCCAAAUAGGACGCAUAAUUAUACCUUUGAUGUCUUCUCGUGCUGAUAAGUCAUUCUUCACAUAAAACCAUUCUGUCAUCCAAUCCCCGGGCCAUCUCUUCCGAAAGGUUGGUACGGGACAGCUUGCCCCGGACCGAGAAACGAAGCUGUAGCAGCCAAAGUUGUUAUGGUACUGUUCUUUGCCCCAAGGCUUUGUUUCAUAUAAUAAUUCAUGAACAUUGCAGAAGCUUCUUGCGUCAGGCUUCAGACCUUGGCUCCUCGCGGCCCACACGAAGAUAUUUAGCCUUAUAAUUGCCUCGGGAGUAAGUUGAUGAAGAUAGACUUCGAAGAUUUUCAACACCUCCACGACGAAGCUGCUCAAGGGGAAUCGCAGUCCAGCUUUCAAAAAGCUUCGGUACACCACAACUUCAUUUUCUUCAGGGUGUGGACAAGUUUUUUCCCCUUCGUCCGCCCUCACAAUGGACAGAUCCCGGAAAUACCUUCCUCUCAUAUUAACAAGAUGAUUCUCUUUGAUAGUUGAUUUACCAUAAACUGAAUGGCUUGGUCGCCACGGGCGAUCUUCGGAGUCUUCGCCACCGCUGUCCAUAUCAUAACUUUCACUGUCACCAGUAUCUUCAGACAGCCCCUCCAGAAUUUCCUUGGUAAUCUUUUCUGUGUUGGACUUCGACAUCGCUAUAAGAAACCCUAGGUUCUUCUCUUCAUCAAGACUCAGCUUCAUCUCAGCAGCAGCCUUCUUAGCAGCUUCAGACAUCUUCGGAAGUGCUAAAAAACUGUUUUUAAAAGCCGAAGCUUCAAAGCCAAAAACUUAGCAGAUCACAGUGCACAAGAACUAAAAAAUGAAUGAGCAGGAGUGGUUGGCCAGAAAGCGUGCGAAAUAAGUUUGCGGCAUGGCCGUAUUUAUACGAUUGAUGCGUUGAAAGUUGAAAGACCCCACUUGUCAUUGAAUGUUGCUAUUCUAGCAAAAGGAAGGUGUUUUUUCGGACCUUCGGCUCAAGGCCUUCGUCCAUAUCGCAAUCUGAAUUUAUCAUUUACAAAUUAAUAUUGCGAGGGGCUACUGUUGGGGGCCUUCGUCCUCCGAAGGUCCUCAAAAACAUGAUUUGACAAUGUUUUCCGAGUGGAUUAUGUGAACAGGUAUUUUCGGAUCCAGAAUUAUGAAUAUGGAGCACGACCAGGACGAAGCCUGAACCAGACGAAGGUCGAGUGUAGCCGAAGCUGUGCGCAGGAAAGCUUCGGCGCGAUGGCAGUAGGGGGAACCGACUUAAAGAUGAAAAGACUUCGGGGGCCUCGAAAGAUUUCCAUAAGCCGUUAACAAAUGUAAUGGGCAUGGAUGUAAUUUUACGUGGGCUGCGUCCCGCGUCUAUAAAUAGAUGAACAGUACUCCCGUACUGUUCACGCUGACUUUACAUUUGCUUUUGCGUCACGCCUGUACUUUUUACCUUCUCUCAGGACCGAAGGUACAUUUGUAAUUUGAAAUCAUUUCUAUUUUUCCAUGUUAAUAAAAUAGAAAUGAUUCUAUGAUGAUGCUUA
rnacentral:lncRNA from 1 species